GCGGCGGGGCGGGAAGGCGGCGGGAAGGCGGUGGCGCUCAGAGCCCGCCGCCGGGGUAGGGGUGUGGCGGACAGGGAGCCGGGGUCGCAGCCCGCCGCUGCCUUAACUCUCUGGCACCCAGCGCCCUCCGCGUGCCCUUCCUGUCUUACUCGGACGCCGAGGUGGCCCGCCAGUACCUGAGCUCGGGGAUGCAGGUCUUCCAGGCCUCUGUGCGGACUGACUUGGCCAUCGCCGGCGGGAUCCUGUUCAUCCGCCUGAACACGCAGGACCCGGAGCUGCUGCAUGUGGCCACGUCAGUGCUGCUCACUCAGCUGUCCGAGGUGGUGCAGAGGCUGCAGCACCUGCCGCCCCCGCCCCCCACGGGCCGGGUUCUGCCCUGGAAGAACGGAUAGGUGGGCGUCCCAAGGCCCAGGAGAGGAGAGGCCAGUGACGACCUCAGGCGCUGGCCCGGGAGCCCUGGCCGCCCCCUGCCCACAAUAAAGUGGAGCCACUGUGC